UACCUGGAUUACCCUUAAUUCUGUACACUGACGUAGUAACUUAAAUAUUCUCUUAGGUUUUGCCAAAAUGAAUUCAUUAAUAUGCACAUUUGCAGGGGAAAAAAUCAUAACUAAUGUUAUAGUUCCUGAGAUUUUCAGUGUUCCUGUACUCUGUCUAUAUCUGGAGCAGAUUGUAUUACUUUUCUCUGUGCUGUGGGUUUAUCAGCUGUCUGCUGGUCACAUCCUCAAAGAGGUUUGAUAAGAGCCUCAUUAGUGGACUCAUUCAGGUGUACUGAAUGGAGAGACAGUUGCUGGGAGAUGAGUAUUAAUUCUGUGAGCUCACAAAGGUGGAGAUGCCUGUUCUGAGGUAAGGACUUCUUUCCUGGGUGGGUUUCCACACACGGCUGAGGCCUUGCCCAAGUUCUGGUUGUGUCCAUCACAGAACAGCUGAGGUGUGGAAAUCCUUUGUGACAGAGGAGAAGGUCCUGGCGUAGUUCUCGUGUUCAUUAGGAGGAGACUGGCACCUCAGAGGAAAUGGAUGCUCUACCAUCAGCACUGAGGGGAGGAGAACGUCACACAGAGGCGGAGAACAUUUCAGAACAUGUCACAACACAAAUGCACACACACAAACACUUCAGAAGGGAGAAGAAUUUCUGGCAGAGAGAGAAGGGUGCCACAUGUACUUCAGUUUGCUCUUGACAUCUCCAGUUUCACCUGAUCAGAUUAAGUGUAAAUACUGACUAUAAGAAAAACUAA